UACGAAGGGGGCUAGCGUUGUUCGGAAUUACUGGGCGUAAAGCGCGCGCAGGCGGUCUUCCAAGUCAGUGGUGAAAGCCCGGAGCUCAACUCCGGAACUGCCAUUGAAACUGUAAGACUUGAGGAUGAGAGAGGUGAGUGGAAUUCCCAGUGUAGAGGUGAAAUUCGUAGAUAUUCGCAAGAACACCAGUGGCGAAGGCGGCUCACUGGCCCGGUACUGACGCUGAGGCACGAAAGCGUGGGGAGCAAACAGG
rnacentral:rRNA from 1 species